rnacentral:rRNA from 1 species
CGCAAGAUUAAAACUCAAAUGAAUUGACGGGGGCCCGCACAAGCGGUGGAGCAUGUGGUUUAAUUCGAUGCAACGCGAAGAACCUUACCUACUCUUGACAUCCACAGAAUCCUUUAGAGAUAGAGGAGUGCCUUCGGGAACUGUGAGACAGGUGCUGCAUGGCUGUCGUCAGCUCGUGUUGUGAAAUGUUGGGUUAAGUCCCGCAACGAGCGCAACCCUUAUCCUUGUUUGCCAGCACUUCGGGUGGGAACUCCAGGGAGACUGCCGGUGAUAAACCGGAGGAAGGUGGGGACGACGUCAAGUCAUCAUGGCCCUUACGAGUAGGGCUACACACGUGCUACAAUGGCGUAUACAGAGGGCUGCCAGCCAGCGAUGGUGAGCGAAUCCCACAAAGUACGUCGUAGUCCGGAUUGGAGUCUGCAACUCGACUCCAUGAAGUCGGAAUCGCUAGUAAUCGUGGAUCAGAAUGCCACGGUGAAUACGUUCCCGGGCCUUGUACACACCGCCCGUCACACCAUGGGAGUGGGCUGCACCAGAAGUAGAUAGCUUAACCUUCGGGAGGGCGUUUAC